UAUCACACAAUUAAAGUGAGGGAACACCUUCCCAACCCCCACAUCUCAUCCAUCUAAAAAUUAUUUUAGUUUUGCAUUUUUUUUAUUGCAAAAAAUUAAGCUAAUUAUCUUAAUGCCCUUAACCCUACCAUAUACAACAAUCGACUAUGGUUUUCUUAUUCUUUUUUUUUUCUCUUUUCUCUGCGGCGGCAUCUCUCUCUUUUCUCGACUCCUUUCUAUCUACAAACUGUUCUUCUGUUUCUUUUUUCUUCUUCAAUCCUUCGUGAAACUUAUCCAUAGCCACUCAAUCUGAUGAAGGAAUUGAAGAAAACAGUGAAGAGGGUGAAGGAAUUGAAGGAAAAAAGAGCUCGAAGUCUAUUUACGUUUAUAGUCAUGGAUCUGCGAUUUCAGAUUAGGGUUUCGUUUUAUGAGGAAUAUUGUGUGUUUUUUUCGAUCUAGAGUUUAUUUUUGUUCUUCAUGAUUUUGAUUUAGUGUUUAGAAUAAGAUUUUAGGUUUUCUAUGAUUUAGGGUUCUUAUUGUUCUUAUUCUUCUUAUUCUUCUUCUUUUACAGUAGUUUUCGUGGUUGUAUUUAUUUCAUCUUCAGAUUCUCUUCAGAUCUAGAUUCAGUUUAACUCGGUGUUAUUAACUCAGUCGAACUUGG
rnacentral:lncRNA from 1 species